UCUCGUGGCUGAGGAGAACCGCGACGUCUACCGGCGCGGAGAACUGGAAAUACAGACUUUCACAACAAAACAAAACGGAUAGUUUUGCCUGAGUUUACAGAGGUAGACACAUCAAAAUACCAAAACAGGAACAUGAGAAAGACUGCACUGAGGAGAAUGCAGAGAGUGCACACAGUGGGGAUGACAAUCUCUGUGACCAUCUCCAUGUGGCUGAUCAGUGGAUCUGGAGAAAAACAACUAGAUCAUUGCCGGCUGUGCUGCCCAGUGGGAGAGAAGUCAGCAACAGUUACACUAACCUGCCG